rnacentral:rRNA from 1 species
GAUGAACGCUGGCGGCGUGCCUAAUACAUGCAAGUCGAGCGGACGGACGAGAAGCUUGCUUCUCUGAUGUUAGCGGCGGACGGGUGAGUAACACGUGGAUAACCUACCUAUAAGACUGGGAUAACUUCGGGAAACCGGAGCUAAUACCGGAUAAUAUUUUGAACCGCAUGGUUCAAAAGUGAAAGACGGUCUUGCUGUCACUUAUAGAUGGAUCCGCGCUGCAUUAGCUAGUUGGUAAGGUAACGGCUUACCAAGGCAACGAUGCAUAGCCGACCUGAGAGGGUGAUCGGCCACACUGGAACUGAGACACGGUCCAGACUCCUACGGGAGGCAGCAGUAGGGAAUCUUCCGCAAUGGGCGAAAGCCUGACGGAGCACCGCCGCGUGAGUGAUGAAGGUCUUCGGAUCGUAAAACUCUGUUAUUAGGGAAGAACAUAUGUGUAAGUAACUGUGCACAUCUUGACGGUACCUAAUCAGAAAGCCACGGCUAACUACGUG